AUUGAACGCUGGCGGCAGGCCUAACACAUGCAAGUCGAGCGGAUGAAGGGAGCUUGCUCCUGGAUUCAGCGGCGGACGGGUGAGUAAUGCCUAGGAAUCUGCCUGGUAGUGGGGGAUAACGUCCGGAAACGGGCGCUAAUACCGCAUACGUCCUGAGGGAGAAAGUGGGGGAUCUUCGGACCUCACGCUAUCAGAUGAGCCUAGGUCGGAUUAGCUAGUUGGUGGGGUAAAGGCCUACCAAGGCAACGAUCCGUAACUGGUCUGAGAGGAUGAUCAGUCACACUGGAACUGAGACACGGUCCAGACUCCUACGGGAGGCAGCAGUGGGGAAUAUUGGACAAUGGGCGAAAGCCUGAUCCAGCCAUGCCGCGUGUGUGAAGAAGGUCUUCGGAUUGUAAAGCACUGUAAGUUGGGAGGAAGGGCAGUAAGUUAAUACCUUGCUGUUUUGACGUUACCAACAGAAUAAGCACCGGCUAACUUCGUG
rnacentral:rRNA from 1 species